GUUGUUGGUGGUGGUGGUUUUUGUUUUUAUUUUUAUUUUUUUCCUUACUCCAGAGAUUUUUGGUUUGAUCUGUAGUCAGCAUCACAGUCUUCUCUGCUAAGUCUUUGGUACGUGUCACAUGAUUUAUAAUGGCCCUGGACAAAAUGUCUCCAUUUGAAAUACACCCCACAGCCACAGCAAGUGCUUGGAAGAUGUGGUGCCAGGCAUACAUGUGGUGCUUUCUGCACAUAAGUACUGUAAUGAGUAAGUACUGCACCCAAGGUUUUUUUGAUUGCUUAGGACAGCCUUGAUUUGUUUCUGAUUACUGUACUAAUUUUUCUUAAAAUAGUUUUGAAUCACAGUUGCUGUACCUCCCUUCCACACCUAUCAGAAUUCUCUUACUUUGUUUUAUCCUCAAUUAUUGCAAUUUUCUCCUUUUUUUUGUGGCCAGUUGCUGUUUCACUUUUGUGUGGGCAGGAAAAGAGGUUUUGUGCUGACAGUGUUGAUUAAUCAGUAGGGCCACGUGUUGGGAUAUUUUUAGAAGGGAAAAAAAAAGUUUUGAACGUUUUUUUUCUGUGGAAAAGUGAACAGAUGAAAAUGUUGCAAUGAGAAUUAAUACUCUGGUAACCAUUCUCAAAAUCAAAUAAUUAUUUGCUGCAAAGAACAGAUGAAAUUAAAAUAAUUUUGAAAAUUUCCCCAGUGCCUAUAAAACUCCUUUGGUUCCGGGUGUUUUAAGACAGUUCUGGUAAUACAGACUGGAAAGUGAAGGAAUGCAUACAGACCAUGUAAUUCUCUGUGAAAACAGAGAACAGUGAGACUGAUAUUUCCAUAGCCUGAUUUCUUAAGAAACCUUCUCUAGAAGGAAUUGGAAAUGAGUUUGCAGGACUCAGCCAAAGUGGAAAUUAAAAGUAACCACAACAAAGAUCCCAGAAUGCAAAACCUAUUUCAGUACAUAACAUCCCCAUGAAUGCUAGACAGAAAGGGCAAGACUUUCUUAAUUAAAGACUUUAAGACUUUUUUAAUUAAAAUGAGAGUAUCUGAAUUAUUUUGCAUGGAGAACUCUAACUACACUCUGUAUUGUGACCAUUAGCAAAAAGUAUGCAGUUUGCUAAGACACUUCAGUUUACGUAGCCCUUAAAGUCCCAGAAAUUUAACAAAGCCUUCUCAUGUGGGUGAGGGUUAAAGUGUACCAGACAGAUCUUACACUUCUAACUCCCACCUGCAUAUUUUCCUGAUGCUUUGCUCUGAGCCAGCUCCCUGGCAAGGCAAGUCCUCAUCACCUGGUGGCCAUUCUCCAGAGUACUGUGUCACUGGAGUACUCUACAAGAUCAAUGAUCCAAAACUGGCCAUGGUGUCUGUGCAUGAGCUUCUGCCAGCCAGCUCCUCCCUUCAGGGAUGCAGCAUUUCAGGUUUGGCUAUUGCAAGCAGAUUAGCAAAACUCUGAACUGCUUCAUUUUGCACGUGUUACUGGGGCUUCUGGCACUGUUAGAGUGCUGCAUUGAUAAAGAUGUUUUCUGGGGCAGCUAGCGAAUUACAACUCCUCCAGAUAGACCUUUUGCACAACAAAGGCAUACAGUACUUUUCUUAUAAUAGCUGUCACCUUGUUAACCAGAAAGCCACAAUUAGAGUUUGUGUUUCAGCAUCAGAUGCAGAGUACCUUCAGUCUUUCAUACAACAUCCAAGAAGGGGUCAGAAGAUUCCCAGCAGAGCAGGUGUGUUGGCACCCUUUUUCUUCUUUUUCUAUUUCAUCAUGCAGGACUUAGAAAGCUCUUUCUCCCUGCAGUUAGAAAAUUCACACAGACACAAAU